rnacentral:rRNA from 1 species
UAGUCCCAGCAGUAAACGAUGUGAGCUUGAUGUGGGGGGAUUCGACCCCUUCCGUGUCGACASUAACGCGAUAAGCUCACCGCCUGAGGAGUACGSCCGCAAGGCUAAMACUCAAAGAAAUUGACGGGGACCCGCACAAGCGGUGGAGUAUGUGGCUUAAUUCGAUGCAACGCGAAGAACCUUACCUGGCCUUGACAUGCAUUGUGUCGUCGGUGAAAGCCGGCUAGUCCUGGAAACAGGACGCUUUGCACAGGUGCUGCAUGGCUGUCGUCAGCUCGUGUCGUGAGAUGUUGGGUUAAGUCCCGCAACGAGCGCAACCCUUGUGGUCAGUUACUAACCGGCUUAGCCGGAGGACUCUGGCCAGACUGCCCUGUCAAACGGGGAGGAAGGUGGGGACGACGUCAAGUCAGUAUGGCCCUUAUGGCCAGGGCUGCACACGUACUACAAUGCCCGGUACAAUGUGAACCGAAACCGCGAGGUGGAGGAAAUCGCUCUUGAAAACCGGGCCCAGUUCGGAUUGGAGUCUGCAACUCGACUCCAUGAAGUCGGAAUCGCUAGUAAUGGCGUAU